rnacentral:lncRNA from 1 species
CUAAUUUAAGCACAGGCUUUUUCCUCCCUUUAUUUUAAACUUUUGCCAUUGCUGUAGAUCAUUCUGUGAUGUGGCCACAGAGGACACAUUUAUUAUCAGAAGCAAUGGUGGGGGUGGGAAGUGUCUUUUCCUUUCUUUUUUUACAGCAAGUCUAAUAAAUUUGUCAUUUGAAUUAAUUUUAGCUGUCUUAUUGACUUGCGAGGUGCUUCAAGGCUGCUCAGUCACAGAAGUAUUUGAGACUCUGGAGCUGCUGAUAAAGUUCAGAAGAAAGGAUAUUAUUAGAAGAAAACUCCAGUCAUUCAGCUGUAAAAUGAAGUGAAAUGAAAUGAAAUGAAGAGAAGCAGUGAACAACAAUGGGUGCUUCCAAAUCCCCUUCCUUUCAUCUAAUGCCACACGAUUCUGUUGUGGUUCCUUGUGCCAAAUGUGGAUAAUCUAGAAGCAAGUAGGACAGUAACUAGUGGGCCCCUCCAAACUCUGCACUGCGAUGAUGAUGAUGAUGACCAGCUUGAAGGAAUUUCAAAUUAUAAACUAAGCAAAGUUCAGUCUUGUAGUCAGCAUAAUGUCCUGUGUAUUUUUUUAUAUAUUGUGUAAUCUGGUGCUGGUUUUGCUUAUCCUAAGCUGACUGGAUGGCUCAAUGAGUUGGAACACUUGGAGCUAGUGGCUCAGGAAUUAGAUCCCCCCCUCCCAUGCCUUCCAGGAGAAAAGCCAGCCUGUGUAGUUUAGGGCAAGCUACAUAGUUCUUACUCCAAGUUUUACCUCAAACCAUCACCAUUCUUACUCUCCUCCUGGUUUCUGAUAAUCUCUCAGACAUUGCUUAUAUCUUUAUAAUUUAUCUGUAUAACAGUGUUAAACUGUCUUUUAAUUUACAUGAAAAGGAAUUAUAUGCUUGGGAGGUUGGGUUCUGCUUCCCAGUGAUUCUUUCCUUAUAGUUGUAUAGACCUCUGUCCCCCAAGCUUCCUUUCCAUUGAAAGUGGCCCAAGAUAAAGGGGAAAAAAUGUUAUUACACAUAACAAGUAAAAUUAAUUUGAAUAUGUCAUAAACUUUAAAAAGUCACUACUAAAAAUUUCAUGGUCUAAAUCUAACUGAUAGCCCCAACUGGUACAUUCUGAUCAACUGAGUCAGCUGUUGAAUGGGGAAUCUAUCACAUGCUUCAUGGCUUAAUCAAGAAGCCAUGUUUAACAUGAACAAUAGCUUACUGUGACAUAUACAUGCAUAAACUUUAUUGUUUCUGACCAUAGGCCUUUACAAUGUACAUAUAGUAUAUAAAAUCCAAUUAAAACAGGCAAUUGCCAUAAAACCAAUAAAACUCGGUC